rnacentral:rRNA from 1 species
UACGAAGGGGGCUAGCGUUGCUCGGAAUCACUGGGCGUAAAGGGUGCGUAGGCGGGUCUUUAAGUCAGGGGUGAAAUCCUGGAGCUCAACUCCAGAACUGCCUUUGAUACUGAGGAUCUUGAGUUCGGGAGAGGUGAGUGGAACUGCGAGUGUAGAGGUGAAAUUCGUAGAUAUUGGGAAGAACACCGGUGGCGAAGGCGGCGACCUGGUCUGAUACUGACGCUGAGGCGCGAAAGCGUGGGGAGCAAACAGG